UACGUAGGGGGCAAGCGUUGUCCGGAAUCAUUGGGCGUAAAGCGCGUGUAGGCGCCAGAAAAGUCCGCUGUGAAAACUCGAGGCUCAACUUCGAGCUGUCGGUGGAAACUUUCUGGCUAGAGUCCGGAAGAGGAGAAUGGAAUUCCUGGUGUAGCGGUGAAAUGCGCAGAUAUCAGGAGGAACACCGGUGGCGAAGGCGGAUCUCUGGGCCGAUACUGACGCUGAGGAGCGAAAGCGUGGGGAGCGAACAGG
rnacentral:rRNA from 1 species